rnacentral:rRNA from 1 species
CCUACGGGGGGCUGCAGUGGGGAAUAUUGCACAAUGGGGGGAACCCUGAUGCAGCGACGCCGCGUGAGUGAAGAAGUAUCUCGGUACGUAAAGCUCUAUCAGCAGGGAAGAAAAUGACGGUACCUGACUAAGAAGCCCCGGCUAACUACGUGCCAGCAGCCGCGGUAAUACGUAGGGGGCAAGCGUUCACCGGAUUUACUGGGGGUAAAGGGAGCGUAGACGGCACUGCAAGUUCGGAGUGAAAGCCCAAGGCGUAACCAUGGGAAUGCUCUGGAAACUGGGGAGCUUGAGUGCGGGAGGGGCAGGCGGAAUUCCUGGUGUAGCGGUGAAAUGCGUAGAUAUCAGGAGGAACAUCGGUGGCGAAGGCGCUUUACUGGGACGUAAUUGACACUGAGGAACGAAAGCCGGGGUAGCAAAUGGGAUUAGAUACCCGAGUAGUC